UACGUAGGGUGCAAGCGUUGUCCGGAAUUAUUGGGCGUAAAGAGCUCGUAGGCGGCUUGUCGCGUCGACUGUGAAAUCCCGCGGCUCAACUGCGGGUCUGCAGUCGAUACGGGCAGGCUAGAGUUCGGUAGGGGAGACUGGAAUUCCUGGUGUAGCGGUGAAAUGUGCAGAUAUCAGGAGGAACACCGGUGGCGAAGGCGGGUCUCUGGGCCGAUACUGACGCUGAGACGCGAAAGCGUGGGGAGCAAACAGG
rnacentral:rRNA from 1 species